CCUACGGGUGGCUGCAGUGAGGAAUAUUGGUCAAUGGACGCAAGUCUGAACCAGCCAUGCCGCGUGCAGGAAGACGGCCCUAUGAGUUGUAAACUGCUUUUGUACGAGGGUAAACCGAGAUACGCGUAUCUUUUUGAAUGUAUCUUACGAAUAAGGAUCGGCUAACUCCGUGCCAGCAGCCGCGGUAAUACGGAGGAUGCAAGCGUUAUCCGGAUUUAUUGGGUUUAAAGGGAGGGUAGCGGGGCUGGUAAGUUAGAGGUGAAAUGGCGAGGCUCAACUUCGGAAUUGCAAGUGAUACUGGUCGGCUAGAGAGUAGUUGCGGUAGGCGGAAUGUGUGGUGUAGCGGUGAAAUGCGUAGAUAUCAUGCAGAACACCGAUUGCGAAGGCAGCUUACUAAGCUGCGUCUGACGUUGAGGCACGAAAGCGUGGGGAGCAAACAGGAUUAGAUACCCCUGUAGUC
rnacentral:rRNA from 1 species